GACCUCCAGAACCCUGGAUUGUGAAUUGAACUAGAGAGCAGUUGGUCGAAAGAAUGAGGGCAGAAAUGGAGGAACAUAUGGGGAUUGUAAAGAUGGCGGAAACAAAGGAGAAAAUGAAAGAAAUAAAGAAGAAAAAAAACAAAAAA